UUCACUUGUUACGUGGCUGUUAACAGCGUGUAGCGAGACCUGGCACGCCGAGCAAGCACUGAUUCUUAAGCGAGCGGCUCCUGUCCUCACGGCAGUUACGACUCGGUCUCAGCAAAGAUCAGAAUGAACAGAACUCAUUGUAAUGAGAUGACCCAGCGGCGGCAGGGGCGAGGGACACUUGCCAGUACCUGCCCCUGGUAAGAAGCUACGGCUCUGUACCAGGGGCAGGUACCCAACCUUCCGUCUCCCCGAUUGGCAUGUGGCUGUUCGACCCCUGCACGGAUCCCGGACUCUCCCUGGCAACUGACUCUUAUGCCCCCCGCCCCUCCCUCUCAGCCUCCAGGAGCAAACGUCAGCCGAACAUCGUUCCUGUCAGCCCUACAUACACCCCUCUGCUCUCAGAUGCAGCUUUUCCUAUCCGCGAGCGAACCGAAAGAGAUCACCUUCAGUUCUCGUGAUCAUUUCUCCACAUAAUAUAUUGCGAAGAUUUCUUGGAAUCUUCUAUCAGUUUAUGUUCCAGCCAAUUGAUAUUGAAUCCCAGGAACAGCGAACUCACGGAAACUAAAUUGCAUCUUUGUGUAUCAGUUUUUCCCAUGAUGAAUAUGUUGCUUGUAUCAAGCAUCCAUUUAAAAAUUGUUUUGUUUCUUGAUAUAUCUUUUCCUCUUUGCUAUGAGCAAUGUGUUGUAUUUAAAGUACAAUGUGUUAUGCCACUGUAAAAGAGGCAAUCACGGGUUCAAUAAAUUUGAUUUUAAUAAAUGGAUGCUUAGAUCUUACCUCAGGAAUAAUAUAUCAUUUAACGUUUUAUAAGGAUGUUUCCACCGAUUUCUAUACUAUGAAUGUAUUUGUACCUCUAAUCAAACUAAGCAUUUUCCAAAUACUAAAAUUCAUAAAUA
rnacentral:lncRNA from 1 species